rnacentral:lncRNA from 1 species
AAAUGCUUUAAAAAUUAUUAUUCUAUUCUAUUUUAUUUUGAUUCGACCUAAUCUACUGUAUUGUUGAUUAUUUUGUAAAAUUCAAAGAGAGUUUUGAUAAUAAUAAUUAUUAUUUUUGAAUAAAAAAUAAAACGAACCAUUAGAGGUUCGUGACGUAUAAUGAUUCAUAGGUCAUCAAUACAUAAGUUGUUGAUCAAUUAUGGGUCGUCACAUAAUCACAUGGGACUGUGUAAUUUAUACAAUCACAACAAGCUUUGUACAAAUUAUUAAAUUAAUUGUUCCCAAUUCAUUUUAAAUUCCAAAUGUUAAUGCAUGUAUGGUGGAGAAGUUACGUCGCCAUGUUCUUGUUAUACCAUUAAUUGUGUUUAAGUGUUCUAAUUGAUUUUAAAAUGAAUUCGGUGGAAAGCUUUUCCCCCAAAAGUCGAAGCAGAAACAUGAACCCUGUCUCAUGGCAUUUUUAGUUUUAGGGUUCGGCGUAUCUAUGCACAGCUACUAGGGCAAGAAACACAUGAACCCUAGCUAUUUUCUUUCCGGAAUUUUUCAGAUGGCGACUGCAGCUAAUUCUGACUGUGGAACAAUCGCCUUUAUCACGACUGAGUAAAUUAUUACCAGAUGUGAUAAAUUUAAUUGUGGAAACUAUUUUCUAAUCCACUUGCUUUUGGUAGCACUUGAGAUAAGUAGCAGAACAAGAAUUUUGAUUCAAAGGGGGUCAUAGUUGUAAUAUAAUAUCACCAAAAUUAAACGUCAAAAUCAUAAUAUUAUGUAAAAAAGAGGUGGCCAAAGUACAAAAUUUAUAUGUGGUAAAAUUUCAAAUCAGGCCUUAAUUUUCUUGUAAUUUUUUAAAGCUACUCAGGCUUGUACAGCUGUACCUCGUUCCGGCAUUACUUAUGACACCAUUGUUCCAGUCGAUUGAGUAAUUAAUUCAAGCCGAAAAGAUUAGUAACAUUUAUCCUUUUACGAAAAUAUGAUACUCAUUUUUUUCAUUUGAAUUUUCUUUUCCUGUUCACUUGAUACCAUAAACACAAAUCAUCUUGAUUUCUACCAGUACAAUGAGUGAAUUGACCAAGUAAAACCUAGCUUUAUAUUGUCAUUGGACACAUGUACUUCCACCAACAAAUUAAGAUUUAAAAACUGACCUAAACUAGAUCACCAAGUAGCUAUCAUUUCAUCUUUUCCUUUCAUCAUUUCACUAGAAGCCUUUUAUUUGGAAACUAUAUAGAUUGAUCGAUUGCAAAUUGAACAAUGGAAAGAAUUAAUAAUUAAUGUGCAAAGUUAACAGAAAUGAGACUAGGUCAUACUUUAAAUUUGCUUAAUUAUAAGUAAGUCUCUUAUUGGCACUCGAUUCUUUUGAAUUUAACAAAUUAAUAAUAGCUAGAUAAUUAUUCCAAGAUGCAUGUAUAUAUGGAGAAGACUUGACUUUGAGAAAAUUAAAGGUAAUUAUGUGUUUUUUAGGUACAAUUGUACGAAGAGAUGCAAAAGAGUUAAAUUUAGGGUUGGUAUCCUUUUAAAACUUAAGUUAUUGCAAAAUAACAACUGGGUGCUUUUAACGUUACUAAAAAAUUACAAAAACUUUCAAUUGACUGCUAAAAAUAUACAAAAUCUAACAUUUUUUCUACUAAUAUUUAACUCCGUUGUCUUAGAAGUGCAUGUGCUAAUGAUGAGCACAAUUUGGAACCCAAAAUCCAUUUGAUAAUUUUUAACAUCAGCAGCAUCGCCAUGUCACUUUCAGAGCAUUUAAGCCCAUUUUGGGAUCAAAUUCAACCGGUUAAAAGCCCAAAAAUAUGGCAGCCCAAAGACAACAAAACGCCAGCAAAAUUCAAAAUUAUGUCAAACCUUCCGAUUAGCACUAGUUGAUCUUGUAUUUCAUUAAUUAAUUUGGUAUAUUUGUUUAGAGUUAAUUUUCCGUUUACCCCUAAAUAAAUUAAGGAGCAGGCCUGCAUUCUGCCAAUGUACUUGUGGCAGAUACAUAAUGGUUUGUGUUGGUGACAAAAAUGACAUAACUUCUUAAGCAAAUUAAUACUGGGCAUGCUGGCAAAUUGCCUAUGUAUCAAUUAAACAAAAACGUCUCAUUUUAUAGCUUAUUGUAAUCCCGAAAUCUCUAUUAAAAACAAAGAGAUCAAGAUUCUCUCUUAACGUGAUCUCUUAUUUGAGCACAUAAAACAUUAUAUUUGGCGGUUAGUAAAUAUGAAUAUAAUAAAGAAAUAUAUCUUGAUCGGGAAAAAAAAUAAAAAUACACAUAUUAAAUAAUUCUUCAAAAUUUAGGCUCAGAAGUUACACAACUAUAGUCUUUUAAGUUACAAUAUUAAAAUAUUUGGUAAACACUUACUAUUAUUACUUAAAAGGUAAGUUAAUUUGAUUUUAUUAGGUAAAAAUUUAUAACAUAUUUACUAUUUUUAUCAAAAUUAUUAUUUAAAUAUCAUACUUACGACAUAUUAUUAAUUUUUAUUUUAGAGUGAAGAUGUCCAACGGAUCGUGCCGUAUCGUUAAAAAGAGGCCAGUCGUGCCAAUGGAAUGGCAUGACACAACUCAUUAAUUUCAUGGACCAUGUUGUGGCAAGCAUGAUAACUAUUUCUUCAGGGCCUAUGGACCUCAAUUUAUUUAUUUAUCUUUUUUUUUUGGUGCAUUUGUUAAGCCUUCGACGUACUCAAUGUAAGCCGAUUUUCCUAAUAUCCACUUGGUUAAACAUAUCUAAUUAUUAAGAAAGCAAAACAAUAAUAUGCAAAUACUAAAAUAAAUUAUAGUGCUUUUUUAAUAUGUAUGUAUUAUAACCCGAUCGAGUGUUAAAAUUCAAACCGUUCAGAUUUUAGAAUUAACCCAAAUCAAACUUAAACCCGAAAUUAAUUUUAGGUUCGAUUCGAGUUAACCUGAAUACCACCCUCACAUGAGUUAUAUUCUUGUAAAUAUUUUGGUUUCAGUUCCUAUUAUUUGAAAUCGAUUGGUAUUGGUUUGGUUCGAUUAUGGUCCAUAACCGAACCAAAUUGUUAAAUGCCCAUCCCUACAUGUAUGUACUCAUUGUAAGAUAGUUUUUUUUCUCGUAUCCACUUGCCUAAACAUAUCUAAUUAUUAAAAAAAGCAUAAUAAUAAUAUAUGUCAACCUUUUACUAGUGACUAGUAGGGAUGGCAAACAGCGAGCUUGGGCCGGGUUUUUUCAAGCCCAUGUCCAGACCCUCUAUCAGCUAAGUGUACGGGCCCGGGCCGGGCCCAUUACGGGCCUGGGCCGGGCUU